UACGUAGGGUGCGAGCGUUAAUCGGAAUUACUGGGCGUAAAGCGUGCGUAGACGGUUAUGUAAGUCAGAUGUGAAAGCCCCGGGCUUAACCUGGGAAUGGCAUUUGAGACUGCAUAGCUAGGGUGCGGAAGAGGGAAGCGGAAUUUCCGGUGUAGCGGUGAAAUGCGUAGAUAUCGGAAGGAACACCAGUGGCGAAAGCGGCUUCCUGGUCCAGCACCGACGUUCAGGCACGAAAGCGUGGGGAGCGAACGGG
rnacentral:rRNA from 1 species